GUUGAAUGUCCAAUUGUCUAUUCAUGACUCCCUAUUUUAUGAUGACCUUGAACAUUUGAUAACAUGAGUUGCUGGUAUAGGGAAACAAUAACAGGAUAUGACUCAGUUCUUAUCUGAUUUCCACUAACAAGGUAUAUGACUGGACUAGUUUCAUCGUCUGAACUAGAUCUAUGAGCUCCCAUCCAUUCUGCACUUUUAGAGCAGGGCCAAUGGUGUUGGCAUUUUGAAAUACCAGAUUGGAUUGGCAUCCUAGGAAAAAAAAAAACCCCAGCUCAGAAAAAGUCGCCUAAAAAAGCCACCAUCUACAAAGUGGUGAAAGAAGAUAGCCGAGAUAUGACAAAUGCCAAUGAAACAAAUUCUGCGAUCGAGAGCGAGCCUGAAGUGUGAAAUGAACAAAUGUUAAAUGUGAUAAAAUCGCUGUCAGUGCUACCCCAAUCAUCUACUCUGACAAAUACAAUGCUCGAUCAGAAAAUCAGG
rnacentral:lncRNA from 1 species